rnacentral:rRNA from 1 species
GACAGAGGAUGCAAGCGUUAUCCGGAAUUACUGGGCGUAAAGCGUGCGCAGGCGGUUUGCUAAGACAGGUGUGAAAUCCCCGGGCUUAACCUGGGAACUGCGCUUGUUACUGGCAAGCUGGAGUGUGGCAGAGGGGGGUGGAAUUCCACGUGUAGCAGUGAAAUGCGUAGAGAUGUGGAGGAACACCGAUGGCGAAGGCAGCCCCCUGGGCUAACACUGACGCUCAUGCACGAAAGCGUGGGGAGCAAACAGG